rnacentral:snoRNA from 12 species
ACCAUGAAGCAGAUGAUGAGAAACUGGGUCUGACAGACUGUGCUGAGUUUGUUCAAUCCAACCCUGAGCUUCAUGGU